AAGUCGUAACAGGGUUUCCGUAGGUGAACCUGCGGAAGGAUCAUUAUUGAUUUGGCUCCGGCCUAUACCUUUCUACCCUCUGACUGACCCGUGGCCCUUUACGGCUUUUUAACAUGUGUGACGACGUAGAAAUGAUAAUAAAUAAA
rnacentral:misc_RNA from 1 species